rnacentral:rRNA from 1 species
AGCAAGGUUAACCGAAUAGGGGAGCCGUAGGGAAACCGAGUCUUAACCGGGCGUUAAGUUGCAGGGUAUAGACCCGAAACCCGGUGAUCUAGCCAUGGGCAGGUUGAAGGUUGGGUAACACUAACUGGAGGACCGAACCGACUAAUGUUGAAAAAUUAGCGGAUGACCUGUGGCUGGGGGUGAAAGGCCAAUCAAACCGGGAGAUAGCUGGUUCUCCCCGAAAGCUAUUUAGGUAGCGCCUCGUGAAUUCAUCUCCGGGGGUAGAGCACUGUUUCGGCUAGGGGGCCAUCCCGGCUUACCAACCCGAUGCAAACUGCGAAUACCGGAGAAUGUUAUCACGGGAGACACACGGCGGGUGCUAACGUCCGUCGUGAAGAGGGAAACAACCCAGACCGCCAGCUAAGGUCCCAAAGUCAUGGUUAAGUGGGAAACGAUGUGGGAAGGCCCAGACAGCCAGGAUGUUGGCUUAGAAGCAGCCAUCAUUUAAAGAAAGCGUAAUAGCUCACUGGUCGAGUCGGCCUGCGCGGAAGAUGUAACGGGGCUAAACCAUGCACCGAAGCUGCGGCAGCGAACGUAUCACCCAAGACAACUUUGCGGAGUUGACGAUUGACGGAGCGAAGCGACGUCAAAGCG